UACGGGGGAGCAAGCGUUGUUCGGAUUUACUGGGCGUAAGGACGGCGUGAUGAGCGGCCUGUGCAAGUCAGUUGUGAAAUCUCCGAGCUUAACUCGGAACGGUCAACUGAUACUGCUCGGCUAGAGUGCGGAAGGGGCAACUGGAAUUCUUGGUGUAGCGGUGAAAUGCGUAGAUAUCAAGAGGAACACCUGCGGCGAAGGCGGUUGCUGGCCGACACGUGACGCUGAGGCGCGAAAGCUAGGGGAGCGAACAGGG
rnacentral:rRNA from 1 species